rnacentral:tRNA from 1 species
CCACCUGUGGCGCAGUGGUUUGCGUUUUUGCCUCAAGCGCAAAGGGUCCCGGGUUCGACUCCCACUGGUGGC